rnacentral:rRNA from 1 species
AUUGAACGCUGGCGGCAUGCUUUACACAUGCAAGUCGAACGGUAGGGGGGCAACCCCUGAGAGUGGCGAACGGGUGAGUAAUGCACCGGAACGUGCCCAGUUGUGGGGGAUAACGUAGCGAAAGCUACGCUAAUACCGCAUACGACCUGAGGGUGAAAGGGGGGGAUCGCAAGACCUCUCGCAAUUGGAGCGGCCGAUGUCAGAUUAGCUAGUUGGGGGGGUAAAAGCCUACCAAGGCGACGAUGUGUAGCUGGUCUGAGAGGACGAACAGCCACACUGGGACUGAGACACGGCCCAGACUGCUACGGGAGGCAGCAGUGGGGAAUUUUGGACAAUGGACGCCGGUCUGCUCCAGCCAUGCCGGGUGCAGGAAGAAGGCCUUCGGGUUGUAAACUGCUUUUGUCAGGGAAGAAAUCCCUUGGGAUAAUACCUCGGGGGGAUGACGGUACCUGAAGAAUAAGCACCGGCUAACUACGUGCCAGCCGCCGCGGUAAUAC